UACGUAGGGGCAAGCGUUAUCCGGAUUUAUUGGGUUUAAAGGGUGCGCAGGUUGUUUGAUAAGUCAGUGGUGAAAGUCUGUCGCUUAACGGUAGGAUUGCCAUUGAUACUGUUGGACUUGAAUAUGGAUGAGGUAGGCGGAAUGUGUAGUGUAGCGGUGAAAUGCAUAGAUAUUACACAGAACACCGAUUGCGAAGGCAGCUUUCUAAUCCAUCAUUGACGCUGAGGCACGAAAGCGUGGGGAUCAAACAGGAUUA
rnacentral:rRNA from 1 species